rnacentral:rRNA from 1 species
CCUACGGGUGGCAGCGGUGGGGAAUAUUGGACAAUGGGGGCAACCCUGAUCCAGCCAUGCCGCGUGUGUGAAGAAGGCCCUCGGGUUGUAAAGCACUUUCAGUGAGGAAGAACGCCUGGUGGUUAAUACCCAUCAGGAAAGACAUCACUCACAGAAGAAGCACCGGCUAACUCCGUGCCAGCAGCCGCGGUAAUACGGAGGGUGCGAGCGUUAAUCGGAAUUACUGGGCGUAAAGCGCGCGUAGGUGGCUUGAUAAGCCGGUUGUGAAAGCCCCGGGCUCAACCUGGGAACGGCAUCCGGAACUGUCAAGCUAGAGUGCAGGAGAGGAAGGUAGAAUUCCCGGUGUAGCGGUGAAAUGCGUAGAGAUCGGGAGGAAUACCAGUGGCGAAGGCGGCCUUCUGGACUGACACUGACACUGAGGUGCGAAAGCGUGGGUAGCAAACAGGAUUAGAUACCCCUGUAGUC